UUCAGUUUCUGAUUGAGUUUUCUGUUUGAGUUUCCUAUAGUUCUUAUACAGUGUAGUAUUUUUUUGUAUUCGUUGAAUUGUAGUAAUUUCAAGAAGAGCUUGAUGUUUUGUUUUAUCUGUUUCACAGUGUUUCAAGUAGCUAUGAGUAAAGGCCAGGUCACACUACACAACGAUACGAUAAAUUGUAAACACGCGAUAAUUGGCAAAAAAAUUGUGUACAUUGCCAACAGAAUUCUUAUCGAAAGCUCGUAUUUGUCAAAGUGCAAUUUCUAUCGAUACGAAUUAUUUUUUUUUUAACGAUAACGAUAAAUUCAGAGUAGUAGACAAGUUAUCGUGUCGUUAUCGUUAUGUAGUGUGACCUCAUGGGCUUAAAAGUCUUAGACAUUUCCAGAACUGCUAAUAUUUAAUUAAAUUUAUAUUUUAGGGCUUGGAGACACUGCAUAUCACCACGCUAAUUCGUUCUAAAGCCACGGUCAAACGAGGGCGUUGAUGAGAGCCACAAGCUCUGUAAGAACUGAAUACAUGUGCAAGUUCAAGGUUAGAUAGUAAAUAUGCCAGCGGCUUAGUGCGGCGAAUGAUACAAGGAUAUAACAUUUUGUUCCCACCACAUAAUAACAAUAAUAAUAAAGACUUUGUUUAAACUGUUAAAAAUCCCAUCUUCAACGCUGCUGGUAUUAACGGGAGAACCGCAGUGAUUAUAUACAAUUACCAACGUUACACUUAUUUUAUACACAAUAUAGACAUGCAUAUAUAUUCUUAUAUAUAUACACUACAAAUAUGCAGCUUAUUGUAUAAAGUUCUAAAAGAUCACGUAUAUAUAACAGUCAGUACGCGUUUAAAUUUUGAGAAGGAUAUCAUUUCUCUAACCGAAAUGAUUUACCUAGUCCUAUAUAUAUAGUCUUAUAGAUCUUGAAACUAAUGAGCUAUCUAUGACUAUAUAUACAUGUAUAUUGAUAAACUUUCUUAAACAUUUCAGGAAUUGUUGCUGUAUUUAGGAAGACGAAACAAAGUUCCCCCACUAUAUAAAACAUCGAAUGGAAAUUAAUUUUUUCAUAUGUUCCGUGCGCAUGAAUGAAGUCCAUUUUAGCCAUGCCCAGGCAUUAGAAAAAAUUGUUAGUUCUUGAAAGUUAAUCCAUGGAGUGAUCCGAAAUUUUUUAAACUUAAUACGAAACGGUAAAAGCACCCUCCGCAACAAUAAUGCUCAUGGUCAAACCCGAUCCGUGUUGUGGUGAUUGGGUCCGUGAUUGGAUUAUUCGCCUUGUAUAUAAGUAUAAAAGUAAGUAUUCGCCUUGUCAGUUGUAAGUAUCUAUUUUACUAGUAUUUAGACCUACCCACAUAGGAAAAUAACUAUAUCGAAAGGAAAAUAACUAUCGAAAGGCUCGGACCUCGGUAUAAGAGGACAAUCCAAUUUAAUACUAUAUGCGCGCUAUUUCAGUACCACCAACAUGAAGUUAAUCUCACACUAAAAUAGUACCUGAAGCUAGCAGAUGAAUACGGCUCAGGAAGAAUUAAUAUUUGUCGACAGCUUAGUGUCAUGUCUGAGUAUAUAGUCACACUCUUAAAAAAAGGUGUGCAACACCGCACCUUUUAUGUCCAGAAAACAACACACCUUAAGGUGUGUUACAGCACACCUUGAUGUGUUUGUUAGCACGCCUUGGUUUGUUGCUGUAACACACCUUAAGGUGUGCUGCUGAAAAGCCGAUUUGGGCCGGUUUCUGAAAACAAUUCACUGACUUUAGGUGGCUCGGUACAGUUUAAAAAACCCUGGAAAAUUCACGAUUUAGAUCCGUAUUUUUGGACAAUUAUUACAGAUUGAAAAACAAAAAGUAUCUUAUUGAUGUAAAACAAAACAACUUAUAGUACGAAACGGUGUUCAUAUUGAAUUAUAUUCUUUCACAAAAGUUACGCAACAGCCCGCGUUGCUAUACGCUAUAAUGACGUUUCAAGAAAUAAAAUUUGCUGAGCCAAAAAGAUUAUUAUGAAUAAUCACAUUUGGCUCAAUUGUGAAAAUAAUUGAUUAUACUAAAAAUCAUUUUAUAUUUAAGUUAUAAAAAUUAAAUUACUUUCAAUUAAAGCCAAAAUAUCCGCCAUUUUGAAACGUUAUUGUUGCCGUAGCAACGGCAGUUUGCGUAACUUUUGUGAAAAAAUUCAAACCCCAUUUUAUUUUUAAUGUGAACAUUUACAUUCUGGCGGCAAUAUCCAAAAGGCUAUAGCCUAAACAGCCAUUUUAAUUCCAUUUCCCAAAAACUUACCAGCGAGAUCCUCAUGUCAUGCAAAUAAUUUACAAUAACUCUUUCAGGUACUUUCAUUGCAUGCAUGCAUGAUAAAUUACUGUAUUCGACUUCCAGCCAAUUGCUUAUAAAAUCAAAAGUCAUAUGGUAUAGUUUUCAGAAAGUAUUCAUUUUCCCGGAAUUUUCUUUUUUUAUAGAUUUGAUUUUCUCACUCAGUUUUUUACAAAAAUAAUAGUUUUCAAAUUUUUAAAUCCAAAUAUAAAUUGGACAAUCUCGAGUGACUUUUUCAUAUAAUUUCCAGCAGAAAGCUGAACUGAUUCAAAACCCAGCCGUGGCAGGCAUCUUUCUGCUUGCGCGCGGUCUGGAAAUUAUGAAAUAGUCACUCAGGGAGAACUCGAUCGAGAACAUUUUCAAAUAUAUACCGGGUGUCCCAAAAAAAAGUACUCCGGUUUGAUUCGUAAUAACUUCUAAACAAGUAAAGCUUUUAAAGAAAAAUAACUUGCAUCAAAUAAAGGAAGGUCUAACUUAGAUUUUGGUAUAUUACAGUUGUCUUUCACUUAAAAAUUCACGGAGAUAUUAAUGUUUAAAAUCGGGAGCAUAUUUUUGGAUGUGUCUGAAAUAUGCAAAAAAACGGCGUAUCAAAUAUUAAUCAAAAUUUGCCCGAUUGAAAUAUGCACUGUUACCAUUAAAUGAAUGACACUUGACAAAUCGUUUAUUAUGAAACAAAGUAUUAUUAUCUACAAAAUACAAGCAAGAUUUAUUCGUCCGAAAUCCGCGUGUGUUCCUUGGACGAAUAGGUUUCCUUAUUUCAUGAGACCACUGUAUCGCGAAUUAAGGAUCGUCAUGGAUAUCGUUCGUAGUUCUGAAUUAGGGCAUCAUGUGCUGACACAAUGGAAUUGUGAAGCUCUUCUAACUUCUGCAAAGUUCUGAAAUCUUGUUAAGAACACUCAAACUCUUUUGCUUUUUCUUAAUCUUGUUAAGUUCAGAAUAAACUGAGAAUGAAACACAAUCUAACCAUACAACUUCAUAAGACAUGACAAGCAACUCCCCAGAGACAUCCAACAUUUUUGGAACAAAACGUAACAAAAUAGUAGCGUUGAUUCUGUGAUGUGUAUUUGCAAAAAGCAAUAUUAUUUCCUUUAUUAAAGAAAUCCUGCUCUAACCGAGAAAUAAUCAACUCUGUUUUGAACCCAUGAAAAACAUAAAAAAUUAAGCUAUUUAACAAAAAUUUAAGCGCCUGCCUUGCAUAUGGUUUUUCAUGUACCUUUUAGUUUAUAAAGACCUAUUAAAUACUUGCAUAAUUUCGAACGUUCAAUAUUUCAGGAAACAAUCAGCUAUGACUUACAUGCAUGUUAAAAUGUCUAAAUCCGCGCCAUAUCCCUUACAAACCCUAACGACAAUUUACUGAAAUACAAGUUAGCCUGAUAUGUCAUUAAGCGAACAAACGCUGGAGUUGAUAUUUGAUAUGCCGAUUUUCGCUGAUUUUAGACACAUCCCAAAAUAUGCUCCCGAUUUUGAACAUUAAUAUCUCCAUGAAUGUUUAAGUAAAAUACAACUGUAACAUAUCAAAAUCUAAGUUAGUCCGUCCUCUAUUUAAUGCAAGUUAUUUCUGUUUAAUAGCUGUACUUGUUCAGAAGUUAUUAUAAAUCAAACCGGAGUACUUUUUUUUGGGACACCCGGUUAUGUACGAUCAAAUUUAACUCCAAUUAUGGGUAAAAUUUGGUUGAAAAUAACGCCAUUUGGAGUUAAAUUAACACGUGGAUCCUGAAACUGGAAAUUAACAGUGUUCCUUUUAAAUUACAUGUCAGGAAAGUGCAUUUGCGCUAUAUCCCAAAAUAAUUUUGCUUAAAGUAACCAUACACAUGUGUAUUACCUGAUGGUAUAGGCAGACGUGUAUGCCUACUGUAAUCGAAAUUAGUAGAGAAUUAUAGUGUCGCCUCGUAGUGCAUGGCUAAAAAAGAACACUGAAUUACACAAAUCAGUAGUUAUAAAAAACGGUAUAUCAAACAUAGUCGUGCCUGGAUGUCAUUGUGGAGUGGCGUGUCAUUCCACAACACGCAGUGGCACCUGUAGAAAAAGAUGAUGCCUUCAAAAUGUGCAAGUAUAAUUUCCAAUCUGAUUUAUCACAGCUUACCGCGCUACCAUUGAUGGAACGCCGCUUGAAACGGUCAGCAUGCAGCAAUAAAGUCUUCAAAUCCAAGAUGACUUGAAAUGGGGUGAACAUGUUGAUAUUAUUACUAAGAAAGCUAUAAGACGCCUGCAUAUCAUCUGCAUGCACUCUGGAUUAGCCUAAUGGAGAACCUGCAGGAGGAAGACCAGAUCAAGUAUCAUACCUCUCUUAUUCGCUCCAGUCAGUUGGAUUUCGGCUGCGCUGUGGCCUACACGCACCUUCCUUCUUACCUUGUUGAGAAGAUUGAACGUAUACAUGAUGCAGAGGCGAUGGAUGCCCCGCCGAAGACUUGCCGGAAGACAACCGUCAACGUUUAUGUUUUAAAACUUUUUAACAAUUCUAGAACCCAUGCAGCCACGAGGUAUAUGAAUCACACGGACGACUGGUGCGUAUAGUGGCAAUAACUUAACUUAGUAUACAAAUGCAGAACAGAUAGAUUUAAACAUAGUUUCUUUCCAGUUAUGACGGAGAUUUAUAAUCAGC